rnacentral:misc_RNA from 1 species
UAAACUAAACAAGUCUUAAUCAAAACUGGGAAAAAUAACAUAUAUCAAAGCUUCUGCCACUGGUUGAUAAUACACAACUCUUCUUGCUUUAAAAAGCCACUAGACAAAUUUUAGUGGUCAUCUAAUGGAUAAUCAAUCCAUAAUAGGACAACAAAUUGAAGGCAAACAACUUGGCCAUACAAGCGGCCUGUAACUGCAGUGUGU